GAUGAACGCUAGCGGCAGGCCUAAUACAUGCAAGCUGAACGGUAAAUGUUGUAGCAAUACAAUAUGAGAGUAGCGUAAGGGUGCGUAACACGUAUGCAAUCUACCCGCAACAGGAGGAUAGCUCCCCGAAAGGGAAGUUAAUACUCCAUAAGAUCACGAGAGGGCGAUCUGAUUGUGAUUAAACUACCAAGGGGUUGGCGGAUGAGCAUGCGUCUGAUUAGUUAGUUGGU
rnacentral:rRNA from 1 species